rnacentral:rRNA from 1 species
UACGGAGGGUGCGAGCGUUGUCCGGAAUCAGUGGGCGUAAAGGGCGCGUAGGUGGCCCGGCAAGCGUGCGGUGAAAGCUCGGGGCUCAACCCCGAGUCGGCCGUGCGAACUGCUGGGCUCGAGCACUGUAGAGGCAGGCGGAAUUCCGGGUGUAGCGGUGGAAUGCGUAGAGAUCCGGAAGAACACCGGUGGCGAAGGCGGCCUGCUGGGCAGUGGCUGACACUGAGGCGCGACAGCGUGGGGAGCAAACAGG